rnacentral:rRNA from 1 species
UACGUAGGGAGCGAGCGUUGUCCGGAUUUACUGGGUGUAAAGGGUGCGUAGGCGGCUCUGUAAGUCAGAAGUGAAAUCCAUGGGCUCAAUCCAUGAACUGCUUUUGAAACUGUGGAGCUUGAGUGAAGUAGAGGUAGGCGGAAUUCCCGGUGUAGCGGUGAAAUGCGUAGAGAUCGGGAGGAACACCAGUGGCGAAGGCGGCCUACUGGGCUCUAACUGACGCUGAGGCACGAAAGCGUGGGUAGCAAACAGG